rnacentral:rRNA from 1 species
UUAAGUAAGGAAGGGCGUACGGCGAAUGCCUGGCCACUCGAAACUGAAGAAGGACGCGCCAAACUGCGAAAAGCUCCGUGAAGCUGUAAGGAAGCGAAGAAGCGGAGGUGUCCGAAUGGGGGAACCCGGCAGCAGACAUGAGCUGUCAUCUGCAGGUGAAUACAUGGCCUGCAAGAGAGGUACCCGGCGAACUGAAACAUCUAAGUAGCCGGAGGAAAAGAAAACAACAGUGAUUCCCUGAGUAGCGGCGAGCGAAAGGGGAGAAGCCCAAACCGGUCCGAGGACCGGGGUUGAAGGACCAUGAAGUGGCAAGAGCGAGGAUAGGAGAACGGGAUCGAAAGCCCGGCCGAAGAAGGUGCAAGCCCUGUAACCGAAAUCCGAGCGAAGCCUAAUGGGAUCCUGAGUACGGCGAGACACGAGGAAUCUUGUCGGAAGCAGGCGGGACCAUCCGCCAAGGCUAAAUAUAAACGAGUGAGCGAUAGUGAACCAGUACCGUGAGGGAAAGGUGAAAAGAACCGCGGGAGCGGAGUGAAAGAGAACCUGAAACCGUAUGCCUACAAGAAGUCAGAGCCCGUUAAGGGGUGAUGGCGUGCCUUUUGUAGAAUGAACCGGCGAGUUGCGACAGACUGCGAGGUUAAGGAGGAAAGACCGGAGCCGAAGCGAAAGCGAGUCUUAAGAGGGCGAAAGUAGGAUGUUGCAGACCCGAAACCGGGUGAUCUAGCCAUGAGCAGGUUGAAGUUGAGGUGAAACUCAAUGGAGGACCGAACCGACUACCGUUGAAAAGUUAGCGGAUGACUUGUGGCUAGGGGAGAAAUUCCAAUCGAACCCGGAGAUAGCUGGUUCUCCCCGAAAUAGCUUUAGGGCUAGCGUCGAGAGAAGAGUUGCGUGAAGGUAGAGCACUGAAUAUGUGAUGGCCCCAUCUCGGGGUACUGAGCAUAAUCAAACUGCGAAUGUCACGCCAACAUGCUCGGCAGUCAGACAGCGGGUGAUAAGGUCCGUUGUCAAGAGGGAAACAGCCCAGACCAUCAGCUAAGGUCCCAAAAUGUAUGCUAAGUGGAAAAGGAUGUGGAGAUGUACAGACAACUAGGAGGUUGGCUCAGAAGCAGCCAUCCUUUAAAGAGUGCGUAACAGCUCACUAGUCGAGUGACCCUGCGCCGAAAAUGUACCGGGGCUAAGCCUGAUACCGAAACUGCGGAUUGUAGGAAACUAUAGUGGUAGGGGAGCGUUGUAUACGAGUAGAAGCCGUACCGUGAGGAGCGGUGGAUUGUAUAGAAGUGAGAAUGCCGGUGUGAGUAGCGAGAUGUAGGUGAGAAUCCUACACACCGAAAGCCCAAGGAUUCCAGGGGAAGGUUCGUCCGCCCUGGGUAAGUCGGGACCUAACGCGAGGCCGAAAGGCGUAGUGGAUGGAAAGCAGGCGAAAGAUUCCUGCACCCGUAUAUGGAGCGAAGGAGUGACGGAGACGGAUAGUGUGACCCUCUUAAUGGAUUGAGGGCGAAGCGAAGCGGCUGGUUACCAGGCAAAUCCGGUAACUGAAAGGCUAGAGCGUGACAGGUAAGCGAAAUCUUCGGAAAGUAGCGAAGCACAUGAUGACGGCUUCCAGGAAAAGCUUCUGGCAAUGCAUAUGCGGCCCGUACCAAAACCGACACAGGUGGGCAGGGAGAGAAUCCCGAGGUGAGCGAGAGAACUGUUGCCAAGGAACUCGGCAAAAUGACUCCGUAAGUUAGCGAGAAGGAGUGCUUAAGCAAUUAAGCCGCAGUGAAGAGGCCCAAGCGACUGUUUAACUAAAACACAGCUCUCUGCGAAGUCGCAAGACGAAGUAUAGGGGGUGACACCUGCCCGGUGCUGGAAGGUUAAGAGGAUCUGUUAAGAGCGAUCUGAAGCAGUGAUCCGAAGCCCCAGUGAACGGCGGCCGUAACUAUAACGGUCCUAAGGUAGCGAAAUUCCUUGUCAGGUAAG